rnacentral:rRNA from 1 species
GUCUUUUAGAUUUUAAUUUAAGGUUUGGCCUGCUCUAUGAUAUUUAUUAAAUGGCUGCAAUAAUUUAAUUGUACAAAGGUAGCAUAAUCACUUGUUUUUUAAUUGGGAACUAGUAUGAAUGGUUUGAUGAGAAAUUUUUUUUAUUGAAUUAAUUAUUUUGAAUUUUAUUUUAAGUAAAAAUUCUUAAAUUUUUUUAUGGGACGAGAAGACCCUUUAGAAUUUUAUUUAAAUUUAUUUAUUUAUAUUUGUUUAAUGAUUAAGUAUUUAAUUUUUUGAAUUUGGUUGGGGUGAUUGGGGAAUUUUUAUAACUUUCUUUUUUUUUUUCAUUAAUUUUUGUUUUUUUGAUCCAUUAUUUUGAUUAUAAGAUUAAAUUACCUAAGGGAUAACAGCGUUAUUUAAUUGGAGAGUUCUUAUUGAUAAUUAAGUUUGCGA